GGAAGUGCUGUAGCUCAGUGGUAGAGCAAUGCUUUACAUGUAGGAAAACUCAGGUUCAAUCCCUGGCAUCUCCA